rnacentral:rRNA from 1 species
UGAGUAACCUGCCCUUAACUCUGGGAUAAGCCUGGGAAACUGGGUCUAAUACCGGAUAUGACUGCUGACCGCAUGGUCUGGUGGUGGAAAGAUUUAUCGUCUGGGGAUGGGCCCGCGGCCUAUCAGCUUGUUGGUGGGGUAGUGGCCUACCAAGGCGACGACGGGUAGCCGGCCUGAGAGGGUGACCGGCCACACUGGGACUGAGAUACGGCCCAGACUCCUACGGGAGGCAG